AUGCCUUCCUCCUCCGUCGACCCGGACAACGGCGUCCCCACCGCCGCCGAAAUCGACGACGCCGAAGCUGUGCUGCCGUCGAGGCCCACCGGCGACGAGCGCCUCGUCUCCUCCCUGCGCACGCAGGCCGAGGUCGACAACCUCCGCGACCGGCACGGCAUACCGAGCGUGUACGCCGCGCGCCCCGCCGGCGACGACCGCCGCGCCUGCACGCCGCCGCCGCCGGGGUCCGUCUGCGUGUACGCGCACGCCCUGGAGGCCGGGAUGCGCGUCCCGCUGGACGGCUUCUCGUGCGAGGUGCUCGUCCACUUCGGCAUCGCGCCGGCCCAGCUCGUGCCCAACGCGUGGCGCGUCAUGGCCGGCUUCCUCGCGCUCUGCAACUCCGCCGGCGUGCCGCCGUCGCUCGCCGUGUUCCGGCGCUUCUUCCUGCUCUACAUCGUCAACAAGAAGCACAAAGGCCGGUACUGUUUCCGAGCCAGGGACAGCUCCGGCGCCGGCUUGCGCUUCACGGGGAUGCCAGGGACGCCCAUGGACUGGAAGAAAUUGUUUUUCUUCCUCUCCUCGCCGGAGCCGUGGCCUUGCCCCGUGGAGUGGGGCAAGCCGUCCAUGAGCUCCUUCACAAAUCCGGCCCUCACCAGCGAAGAAGGUAAAUCCGCGGCGAAGCUAUUGCGCGCUUACGGCGGCGCCGCCGUUGAUAUCAAGACAUGUCUGUGCGAUCGCAACCGUGCAAUCGCCAUGGUUACUGCCGCAUCUCCGCCGCCACCUCUGACGCCUUCUUCUUCUACCACUACUCGUGUCAAUUCCAGUUCCAAAGGUAUGGAUCCCUCCGUCUACGACAUGAUGAAGACUAUGCUCGCGGAGAAGGCGGCGUCGGCGAAGAAGGUGAAAGCCGAGGUGGGCAGCAACGCGCCAGCGCCGCCACCUUCUUGCGGGAGGAAGAGGGGUCUGGAUGAAGCCAACGGCGAGGACAGUUCAGCUCAUUCUUUGCUGAACACGCCGCUGUCCGGUAUGUGUUCGCCACCGCCGGGCUUCCCAAGGAAGCCACACCGCUUCCCCAGCAGGCACGACGGAGACGCCACGGGCUGGGAGGCUGCACGGGAGCGGCUGCAGGGCGCCAUCUCGCCGCCGCAGGAGCGCGCGUUCGCGGCGAAGGAGCCCUCCGACGUCGUCAGGUCAAGCUACGCCGCGAUUCUGCAGGCCGCGAACUACGCGUCGUUCUCCCUGGGCUACGCGCUGGAGCUGGAGAAGAAGCUGGCGGCGCGGGACGCGGAGGUCGCGGCGCUGCGGGGGCAGCUGGAGGCGGCGAAGGCGGAGCUCGCCGCUGUGCAGCACGCGGCAGGCGCGGGGCGGGAGACGGCAAAUGCGGAGCUCGCCGCCGAGGAGCAUGUCCUGGGGCCCGAGGAGCGCGUGCGGCGGCGCGCGGAGCACGCGCUGGAGGGGUACGAGCGCUGGCGAGGUAGUAGGAGAGCGGCGCCGACGACAUGA
rnacentral:rRNA from 1 species